GUCGACGAGAAAGGGGUUUCCGACCCUGAUUAAAGUGGUGCACGGGUGAGUAACGCGUAGAUACCCGGCCAGGUGUUCGGGGAUAGCCUUUCGAAAGGGGGGUUAAUCCCGGAUACGUUAGUCUGUUAUAAGCCAGAUUAACAAAAGGGGGCCUCUAUUCAUAUGCUAUUGGCAUUUGGAGGGUGUGUGGGUACCAUUAGUUUUUGUUGGGGUAAUGGCCUACCAAGACCUUCGACGGUUAGCGGUUCUGGGAGGAUGAUCCGUCUCACUGGGCACUGAAACUCGGCCCAGACUCUUCUGGAGGCAGCAGUGGGGACUAUUUGAGCAUUGGGGGAAACCCGGACGCACCGCCGCCGCGUGGCGAGGAGGGCUUUCGGGGUCGUAAUGUCCUGUCAGAAGGGAAGAAAUGCAUGCAGCUUAAUUUCUUGUAUGUUUGACGGUACCUUCAAAGGAAGCACCGGCUAACUCCGUGCCAGCAGCCGCGGUAAUACGGAGGGUGCAAACGUUGUUCGUAAUCACUGGGCGUAAAGGGCGGCAGGCGGUUUGAUUAGUCAGAUGUGAAAGCCCACGGCUUACCCGUGGAAGUGCAUUUGAAACUGUCAGACUUGAGUACCAGAGGGGGUGGUGGAAUUCCCGCCGUAGAGGUGAAAUUCGUAGAUAUCGGGAGGAAUACCGGUGGCGAAGGCGACUACCUGGCUGGAUACUGACGUUGAGGCGCGAAAGCGUGGGGAGCAAACAGGAUUAGAUACCCUGGUAGUCCCCGCCGUAAACG
rnacentral:rRNA from 1 species